AUGAGUUACCUAAGCUGGAACUGCCGGGGGCUUGGGAACCCCGGGGCAAUUCGAGAGCUUCGCAGCAUUGUGAAGCAAGAAGCGGCCGGUCUCAUGUUUGUUAUGGAGACGAAGAUCGCAGUAAUGACAGUGGAGAACUUGCGGACAUCGUUGGGUUUUGAGGGAUGUUUUGAUGUUAACAGUGUGGGUCUCAGUGGUGGGAUUGGUAUGUUCUGGUCUCAUGAC
rnacentral:rRNA from 1 species